UCACUGUGGGGCGGUUCCUGCGUCGAA
rnacentral:sRNA from 1 species